rnacentral:rRNA from 1 species
UACGUAGGGCGCAAGCGUUGUCCGGAAUUAUUGGGCGUAAAGAGCUCGUAGGCGGCUUGUCACGUCGGAUGUGAAAGCCCGGGGCUUAACUCCGGGUCUGCAUUCGAUACGGGCUAGCUAGAGUGUUGCAGGGGAGACUGGAAUUCCUGGUGUAGCGGUGAAAUGCGCAGAUAUCAGGAGGAACACCGGUGGCGAAGGCGGGUCUCUGGGCAACAACUGACGCUGAGGAGCGAAAGCGUGGGGAGCGAACAGG